GACGAACCGAGCGAACGUUGUUCGGAAUCACUGGGCUUAAAGGGCGCGUAGGCGGGUGCUCAAGUCUGUGGUCGAAAUCCUCCGGACUCGAACCGGAGACUGCCAUGGAUACUGGGUGUCUCGAGGGUGGUAGGGGUAUGCGGAACUAUCGGUGGAGCGGUGAAAUGCGUUGAUAUCGAUAGGAACUCCGGUGGCGAAGGCGGCAUACUGGACCACUUCUGACGCUGAGGCGCGAAAGCCAGGGGAGCAAACGGG
rnacentral:rRNA from 1 species